rnacentral:rRNA from 1 species
UUAUAUCUCUAACCACUAUAACCAUUUAACCACUUAGAACUUAUAUACUUGGUUUUAGGUUGGGGCGACCACGGAGCACAACCAAACCUCCACGAUGAACGGAACAACCCCCUUAUCUGAGAAUUACACUUCUAAGAAUUAGCACACUAACAUAAAAUGACCCAUUAUUGAUCAACGAACCAAGUUACCCUGGGGAUAACAGCGCAAUCCAUUUUAAGAGCCCCUAUCGACAAAUGGGUUUACGACCUCGAUGUUGGAUCAGGAUAUCCCAGUGGUGCAGCAGCUGCUAAAGGUUCGUUUGUUCAACGAUUAAAAUCCU